AUCGGAAAGCAGCCGAAAUUCACAUAUUCGCUUAUUGGAUGCGACCACCAAUGUUGACCGUACAAUAAAUUAACACUGCCACUUGCCAGUCAGGAAGUAUUGCGGAACUACUUAAGUUUCCUUAAACCACGGGAAAGACGGUGAAAAUUGAUCGCAAUGUGCUGGUGCCUUCCGGAUCGGAAGAUUUUGGCAGACGCUUCCUCCAGGACAGUUAUGUUUGGACUCAGCCUUCGUCCUAAUCGAGCCGAACAAAAAGGUGAUUAGACGGAUUCUUGAAUCAUACCGGUUACAUCAUCAGCUGGUGAAAUAUUCUAGGUCUCUCGCGUGGCAGUAAUUUCAUUCAAUUUUCCUUAAUUACAUUUAUUAGAGCUUUGGAUAACUAGGUAAGCACUUUUCUAA